rnacentral:lncRNA from 1 species
GCAAAAUCAUUCAUGCUUUCAAAGAGAUAGCAAUCAUUCACAACAAAACUCUAAAGUUCAAAACCUCACGUACAAGCUAAUUCCAAGUUCCAGAUAUCUCAGUUACACAUCCUGCUCAGUAUCAUAAUCACAAUCAUAACAUCAUGCAUCUGUUCACAUAAUUCAUGAACCACCACCUGUAUAUCAACAUCUCAUAUAUCAUCUCAUCAUUAAUCAAUAUAAAAGCAUCAUCAUGCACAACUCAGCACACAACACAACAUUAUCAAACCAUUGCAUCAAAUAUAGUUUUAGACCAAGUACAUCAACACCUAUUCUAAAAACAAAAGUAAAUAAAGUUCAACAAACAAAACAAAGAUAAGAAAGAUCUUGUUCUAUUGCCAAUAACAUUCAUCAGUAAAUGUUAUCCUUAUCCUUGACUGUCAUCUGAAUCCUCAUCCUCCUCUUUGUCGUCUUCCUCUUCCUCAUCUUUUUCGUCAUCACUAUCUUCAUCAUCAUCAUCUUCAUCAUCAUCAUCCAUGGCUGCAGCUUCAACUGCUCCAGAUCCACUAGCUUGUGCCUGAUCCUCUGGCCACCCACACAGGUGUUAAACUCCUCCAUCAUCCACUGUCAUGUAGGAGGUGUAUCAUACAACCCUAUAAUCAUCUCUGUAGUGGCAACCUGCCUUCUGUCCAAUGCCUACAUCCUCGCCUCCCUCAGGGACAUAUACAUGUCCCUCAUCUGAAAGGGCUCAACAUUCCGAGGCUGAUCCUAUGCUGGUAGUGGUCCCCUCCUAUGAACUUUAGGAUGUGGUGGUAGCAUAGGUUGGCCCGCCUCAUCCAGCACGCAAUACUAGGUGUAGUAGGAAGCA